CUUAAACAUGCCGGAGGUUAUUGUUCAACAUAUAUUUUCAGUAUAUUAUUUUUAUAUUUAUUAACUGGAUUUGUUGUGUGUGUGUUUGUGUGUGUGUGUGUGUGUGUGUGUGUUCAGAACUCUCCGCCUGUUUCGAUGGGUUUCAGUCAGAUGAUGAAAGUUCUCAGCCUUCGCUUUAUGGUGAAGAAGAGGUGGUGGACGGAUUAUCAGUGGAGUGGCCAUGUUUACAGAAGGGUUCUUCACUGAGUGUACUGAAGGAAGUGCUCUGCGGUGUGAAGGCUAGUCUGAGUGUGUUGGCCCAGUUGCCGGUUCCGACCCGCUCGUCUCUUCUGCUCCUGUUCCGUCAGAUUCUGCUGAAACCGACUCUAAAGCUCCUCUACUGUUUGGAGUACAAGUUGGAGACAUUCUGCAGAAAUCCCAGCCUUCCUGUGGACGACGCUUCAGACAAGCUAGUAGAGGACUUUCUGGAUCUGCUAUGGCCUCACAGAACCAUUAUUAAGAGAACCUCUACAGAACCAGUCACUCAAAACGGAUCUUCAUCACCUUCACUGUCCAAUCAGAACGGAGUUCAUACACCAGCAACCAAUCAGAACGGGGCUCAUACAUCACAAGCCAAUCAGAACGGGGCUCAUAUACCAGCAGCCAAUCAGAACGGAGCUCAUACACCAGCAGCCAAUCAGAAUGGAGCUCACUACAAUGGGAUUUCAUCGCAGACAGUGUAUUUAAAUGGCUCCUCCUCUACAGCUGAGGCGGGUCGGCCGGUCCGGACUGCGCUGUACAUGCUGGUCAGCGCCGCUGAGGGACUGAAGGAUGAAGGACUCAUCUACCUAGAAAGCCUCUGCUCUCCAGAAGAACUCCGUGGAUUAAAUUAUUUGGUAAGUAUUUAAUUCUCUAAAUUAAAACACACUUUCAUUAGAUGUUUUUAUUUUUCUGAAUUCUGUGAUUUUUUUUUCAAUAAUAUCCAAUUAUUUCGCAAAUAUUUCCAAUUAUUAUGACCUAACUGCAACUAGUGCACCAAGUAGUGCACCAUGGCUGUACCAACUGCAAUAUGUUUGUGUAUAUAUUUUUAUAAUUUAUAACAGCAAAAAAAAAUAUAUAGGAUUUUAUUUGCAGAUUUCACCAGAAUGAUGAUAAUAGCGUAUUUUUCACACUAUAAUGUGCACUUAAAAUCCUUUAAUUUUCCAAAAAUCUUUAGUGCUCCUUAUGUAUGAAUUAAGUACAGUUAUAGCUAUACUGUUAUACAGGAGUUUCACUGAAAAUUCUCCAGCACUAAGGCUGGAGCAGUAUUAGCAUUAGCCGCUAACUGUGCUAAGUGCAAGCUCUUUCACUGUUCUGAGACGAGUAUAUUGAACUGUAGCCUGCUGCUAACCCUGGCUAACGCUGCUGGAGCAGCAUUAGCACUAGCCGCUAAUUGCGCUAAGUGCUAGCACGUUCAGAGGUGAAUAUAUCGUACUGUAGUCUGCGUUUUUACCAUGCUAAAACAAGCUACAUGGAAUGAACCGCUAGCUAAUAUUGCCCUGGCUUACCAGAACACUCAGGGUUCUUCAAUGUAGCGCUGUUGGGGGAAUUUGGUUGUUGGGCUAGAGGUUAGCCGCUAAUGCUAAUGCUAAUGCUAAUGCUGCCCCCAGCCUUACUGUAAAUAAGCGGAAAUGUUUUAAUCACCCAAAAAACAAUCUUUAAACAGACUUUAAAAUAAAAUGUUUUUAUUAAGAAUUACA
rnacentral:lncRNA from 1 species